rnacentral:tRNA from 1 species
ACCUCUAUAGUAUAGUGGUUCUAUACUAGGGAGUUCUAUAUAGGUUAGUAUAUGGAUCGCGGGUUUAAAUCCCGCUAGAGGCA